AUUUUUGUACACAGACAUCCAAGUGAGAUUGUUCUGCAUUCCAAAGACGAAACUCUCAUUGUUGAGUCUUACAAAAACUCACUCGUGGAUUGAGAAGAUCUAUUAUCUGAACAAAUCCAAAAAGUGGAACCACCAUCCACUAAAACAAAGGAGAAAAACCCAAAACUCAACAAAAAUCUGUGACCAGAGUCUGAGUUUUCGUGGAGCUCCCAAAGUCUACUGUGCCCAGGCAAGCUACCACAAUGAAAUCUUGCAAGACUUUCCUGGUUCAGCGAUCCCUUUGAAUUUACAGCAUAUCCCUGAUCUGAGGGAGACUUGUGGUGACUACUGUCUGGAAAACAAAAGCUGGCUUGGAUCUUGUAUGAAACUCCAGACAAGUGGAGAGAUUGGUGUCUUGCACCUGGGAUAUCAUCAAAGACGGGAACCAACCAAGGCAGGAAAGAGGGGGAAUUUAAAUGACAGGGAACUAUUUGAAGUACAUGUCUGUUUGUAUUUAAUUGGGGUACAAAUGGGAUGCUGGAAAUACUUAUUUGUACAUUUACUGUCCUCUAAAACAUCAGCAUUUUGCUCAAAGAAAGGGCUUGAUUUUAUUUUUACUAAUUUUUAUUUUUACCAACUGAUUUUCC
rnacentral:lncRNA from 1 species